rnacentral:lncRNA from 1 species
CUUGUGAACGUAAUUUGACAGUACAUGUAAGAAAACUACAAGAGAAGGUCUUUAACAAACACUUUUGGUUACUACAAUUUUAUGUUUGCGUGAAGUCAAGAUAUGUCCAAUCACAAAUCCACAGAAAACACCAGGUCCAAAGGCUAUUACUGCUGCUAUCCAGUUAACCACUUGCUCUUCCUUCUCUGGCACCUCUAAUACAGGCUUCUUGACAUGAGUUUCUUCUCCACAUAUGUCUUCAAGACCGUAUAGUUUAAGGUUGUCCAUGUAUGAAGAACAACUCUGACCUUGAAACUGUGUGCUUUUAGGCACUGGUCCUUCAAGAAGAUUGUGAGAGAAGUUCAUUGUUGACAUAAACGAAAGACUACCAAGAUUUUGAGGGAUUUGAGGAAAUAAAGUUAGUCGAUGGAAAUAUUCUCUUUGUAGUCGAAGGCAAAAUAUUAACUUUCUAUAUACAUAUACACCGGAAUCCAAAAUAAGUACUUCUGAAAUUAGGAAAACUAUACUUCUAUAUACUAAUAAAAUGAGACUUUUGAAGCUCUAAGGAUAGUCGAUGGAAAUAUGUGAUUUGGGUUGAUAUUUUCAGUUAUUUCAUUCUUGGUAGCCAAGUAAACUUAGGGUUUUGGUAACUAGCAUAUAAAGUAAGUUUGUUUCACAUUUAUUCCUCAUCUUUUCCCUCUGCAGCCGUCUUGGUCUCUGAGGUGAGUCUCUCUCUCUCUCUCUCUCAAAAUCUGACCAUGUAUUUGAUGGUCUAACUUUCGAGAGUGAUUUUGCUUUGGUUUAUAUCGGCAUAUAACAAGGAUCUCUGUGUUUCUUCUUUCAGGCAUUUAAAAGAUACAACAUAUCAACGUAAGCUUCUUCUUUUGCCGUUGUAGUUAUGCAGAUCUGAGGAACUAGUGUUAUCUUCUCUCUUAUUGUCCAUUCUCGCUUUUUCAUAAUGUUUAAACUCAAUACAGCUCCACGAUUAGAUCUUUACCGUGAUAUAACUAUGUUCUAGUUGAGGAUUCAAUUUUUUUUUGUUAUCUAUGUUUCUUGGUUAUGUGCAAGUCUCCUAUCUAGAAUCUCUCAUAAAAGUUUCCAUGAGCAGGUAAGAGAUAAUGAUUCCAGUUUUUAUGAGGUCCGUCAUGCCUCACUUAACUCGUGGAGUAACUAGAUCAGCCCGUAGUGUUUCUUCAUGCGGAGCCCCAGUCUGUAGUGUUUCUUCACGGGGAGCCCCUAUUCAUUGUGUGUAAAUUCUCUGCUUCCAUCUCUUUUAAUAUUCUCUAGCUUUUAUUUAUGACUAUCGUUUCAUUUACAGGGUUUGAUAGGCUUGUCCGGAAUCCUAUAGCUUGGAUUGGUAAUUAAUUGAUAUUACGUUUCCGUUAAAAAUAACACACAAGUCACUUGACAUUCACUUGACGUUUUCUUUUCUCCUACGUAGUGGUUGGCGUUGUGUUUGUCGUUGGCGAUUAUAAAUACCAUAAAAGAGAAUAUGAAAGAGACACCCUCAUAAGAGAAACCCACCAACUAGCAAGGGACGCAAGAGACGCAAGAGAAGCCGGAGAAUCUAAAGUUAGAUAACUAAUAUUAUGGAUGUUUUGUUCUUUUGAGACUCAAAAAAAAAAUAUAUAUAUAAGAUAACAGGAAACAGUUCAGAUAUAACAUCAUAUACAGCCUCUGCUUGUGAACGUAAUUUGACAGUACAUGUAAGACAACUACAAGAGAAGGUUUUUAACAAACACUUUUGGUUACUACAAUUUUAUGUUUGCGUGAAGUCAAGAUAUGUCCAAUCACAAAUCCACAGAAAACACCAGGUCCAUAAGCUAUUACCGCUGCUAUCCAGUUAACCACUUGCUCUUCCUUCUCUGCUGGCACUUCUAAUACAGGAUUCUUCAUGUGAGUUUCUCCACAUAUGUCUUCAAGACCGUAUAGUUUAAG